rnacentral:rRNA from 1 species
UAGGGAAUCUUCCACAAUGGACGCAAGUCUGAUGGAGCAACGCCGCGUGAGUGAAGAAGGUUUUCGGACCGUAAAGCUCUGUUGUUGGUGAAGAAGGAUAGAGGUAGUAACUGGCCUUUAUUUGACGGUAAUCAACCAGAAAGUCACGGCUAACUACGUGCCAGCAGCCGCGGUAAUACGUAGGUGGCAAGCGUUGUCCGGAUUUAUUGGGCGUAAAGCGAGCGCAGGCGGAAGAAUAAGUCUGAUGUGAAAGCCCUCGGCUUAACCGAGGAAUUGCAUCGGAAACUGUUUUCUUGAGUGCAGAAGAGGAGAGUAGAACUCCAUGUGUAGCGGUGGAAUGCGUAGAUAUAUGGAAGAAUACCAGUGGCGAAGGCGGCUCUCUGGUCUGCAACUGACGCUGAGGCUCGAAAGCAUGGGUAGCGAACAGGAUUAGAUACCCU